ACCCCGGAGUCCCUGAUUUCACACUGCCAAGAAAAGCCUCUAACGAGGCGGGAGGCGCCCGUACCGCAAACCGACACAGGUAGGCGAGGAGAGAAUCCUAAGGUGAUCGAGAGAACUCUCGUUAAGGAACUCGGCAAAAUGACCCCGUAACUUCGGGAGAAGGGGUGCUCUAUUAGGGUGUUAAAGCCCGAGAGAGCCGCAGUGAAUAGGCCCAGGCGACUGUUUAGCAAAAACACAGGUCUCUGCAAAACCGUAAGGUGACGUAUAGGGGCUGACGCCUGCCCGGUGCUGGAAGGUUAAGAGGAGAGGUUAGCGCAAGCGAAGCUUUGAAUUGAAGCCCCAGUAAACGGCGGCCGUAACUAUAACGGUCCUAAGGUAGCGAAAUUCCUUGUCGGGUAAGUUCCGACCCGCACGAAAGGCGUAACGAUCUGGGCACUGUCUCAACGAGAGACUCGGUGAAAUUAUAGUACCUGUGAAGAUGCAGGUUACCCGCGACAGGACGGAAAGACCCCGUGGAGCUUUACUGUAGCCUGAUAUUGAAUUCCGGUGCAGCCUGUACAGGAUAGGUAGGAGCCGUGGAAACCGGAGCGCCAGCUUCGGUGGAGGCACUGGUGGGAUACUACCCUGGCUGUAUUGGACUUCUAACCCGUGCCCGUGAUCCGGGCAGGGGACCGUGUCAGGCGGACAGUUUGACUGGGGCGGUCGCCUCCUAAAGAGUAACGGAGGCGCCCAAAGGUUCCCUCAGAAUGGUUGGAAAUCAUUCGCAGAGUGCAAAGGCAGAAGGGAGCUUGACUGCGAGACCUACAAGUCGAGCAGGGUCGAAAGACGGGCUUAGUGAUCCGGUGGUUCCGCAUGGAAGGGCCAUCGCUCAACGGAUAAAAGCUACCCCGGGGAUAACAGGCUUAUCUCCCCCAAGAGUUCACAUCGACGGGGAGGUUUGGCACCUCGAUGUCGGCUCAUCGCAUCCUGGGGCUGUAGUCGGUCCCAAGGGUUGGGCUGUUCGCCCAUUAAAGCGGUACGCGAGCUGGGUUCAGAACGUCGUGAGACAGUUCGGUCCCUAUCCGUCGCGGGCGCAGGAAAUUUGAGAGGAGCUGUCCUUAGUACGAGAGGACCGGGAUGGACACACCGCUGGUGUACCAGUUGUCCUGCCAAGGGCAUCGCUGGGUAGCUAUGUGUGGA
rnacentral:rRNA from 1 species